AUAGAGCAGACCUGGGCAUUUUACGGCCCGCGGGCCGGAUGCGGCCCUUUGGUUGACUCUGACCGGCCCGCGUAAGGUUCAUAAGAAAUUACAAAAUAAACUUUUUUUUUUUUUUUUCGUAUUUUCUUAUUACCUCAUACGUGGAUUAAAUGUGCAUGGCUUUUAUUUUGAAGUUAUACACCCUGUGUUUUUUACGUAGUGCAUAGGGACGUAAGGUACGUACGUGAUGCGUGUUACCACAGAGCUGAAAAAACUGCUAAAAAAACUUUUCGGCUCUGUGCGUGUUACUGAAUGGACGUUAGCUGUCUCGACGACUUUCACCCCCAAAAUGUCAACUAAAGAAAGGAUUUUUACAAAGCUUCACACAUCCAGGGAUGCAGCAACCAGGACCAGCUUUGUAAUUUCCCACAAAAUCGCUAAAAACAGUAAGCCAUUCUCAGAGGGCGAGUUCGUAAAAGAGUGCUUGGUGGACUCUGCAGCCCUACUAUGUCCUGAAAAAAAGAAGCUUUUGAGCACGUCCCGCUGUCCAGGCGCACCGUGACAAGAAGGAUCGAGGACAUUGCGGUAAAUUUGGAACUUCAGCUGCAACGUGAUGUGGCAAAUUUUGACUUUUCUCUUUGGCUUUGGACGAGAGCUGUGAUGUCCGUGACACAGCCCAGCUACUUGUAUUUGUCCGUGGGAUAACGGACUUCAAGAUUACAGAGGAGCUGGCAGCAAUGCGCUCAAUGAAAGGGACAACGACGGGGAGCGAUUUGUUCACGGAGGUAAAUGCAUGCAUGGACACGCUGGGACUGAAAUGGGACAGACUGACGGGUGUUACAACGGACGGUUGUCCAAAUUUAACAGGGAAAAAUGUCAGGCUGUUGAAACGUUUGCAAGAUAAAGUGACUGAAAACAACGCAGAUCAGAAAGUAGUAUUUUUGCAUUGUAUUUUACAUCAGCAUGUGUUGUGCAAGUCAGUGCUUAAAAUUGACAAUGUGAUUGAUGUUGUAACUAAAAUAGUUAACUUUAUUAGGGCACGAGCAUUGAAUCACAGGCAGUUUGUUGCACUUUUAGAGGAGCACGAGACAGAACAUGUUGAUAUCAGCUAUCACACAGCUGUGAGAUGGCUCAGUCUGGGUAAAGUGCUAAAAGAGUCUGGGAUCUGAAAGCAGAAAUCCGAGAGUUUUGUGAAAAGAAAGGCAGAGACAUCCCAGAGCUCUCAGAUGAGAAGUGGAUGGCAGAUUUUGCAUUUGCUGUUGAUGUGACCGCACUGAUGACUGCACUGAACACCAAACUGCAAGGCAAGGGCCUUUUCAUCCAUGAAAUGCACAACCUAGUGAAGGCUUUCAUGACGAAGUUACAGUUUCUUUCGAGGCAACUGGAGAGCAACAAUCUUACUCACAUGCAAACCCUGAAAGAAGUCACACCAUCAGAUGAUAACCUCCGCAGGUACUCAUCCAUGUUAGGAGCACUGCAUGAUGAGUUUUCAAGGCGAUUUAAAGAUUUCAGAACAAUGGAGAGUGAAAUGCACUUGAUUUCCUCUCCAUUUACCUGCAAUGUGGAUGAUGUGCCUAGUGAUGUCCAGCUGGAACUCAUUGACCUGCAGUCUGAUGCAGUACUCACAGAGCACUUUAAGUCACAACCACUGCUGCAAUUCUACUCUUCUCUUAAGCAAGAGAAGUUUCCAAACAUGAGGAGACAUGCUCAGAAGAUGUUUGUUCUCUUUGGAUCUACCUACAAUGUGAACAAACAUUCUCAGUGAUGAAGUUUAAUAAGUCCAGAUACAGAUCCUUUCUCACUGAUGAUCAUCUGUCAGCUGUGCUUCGCAUCUCAACCUCAAACAUUCACCCUGACUUUGAUGCACUUGUUAAAGACCAACAGAGACUAGAUUUCUCUCACUGAACAAGAAAAAACUGAAAAACGCAGAAUGAGUGACAAGUGAAAAUGUUUUAACUACAAAUGUAGGCAUCAUUAUUUUUCUAAUAUGAUGUAUCUUACUGAAUUUGGCUGAAAAUGGUCACUAAUGUAAUGAAUCAAAAACUGUUCAAAUGUUCACAUUUUGUUAACCAUUAUUUUAGGAAAUUUUAUUGAGUAAAUGUCAUUUUUCCUAAGACAA